AGUGAACGCUGGCGGUAGGCCUAACACAUGCAAGUCGAACGGCAGCACAGUAAGAGCUUGCUCUUACGGGUGGCGAGUGGCGGACGGGUGAGGAAUACAUCGGAAUCUACUUUUUCGUGGGGGAUAACGUAGGGAAACUUACGCUAAUACCGCAUACGACCUACGGGUGAAAGCAGGGGAUCUUCGGACCUUGCGCGAUUGAAUGAGCCGAUGUCGGAUUAGCUAGUUGGCGGGGUAAAGGCCCACCAAGGCGACAAUCCGUAGCUGGUCUGAGAGGAUGAUCAGCCACACUGGAACUGAGACACGGUCCAGACUCCUACGGGAGGCAGCAGUGGGGAAUAUUGGACAAUGGGCGCAAGCCUGAUCCAGCCAUACCGCGUGGGUGAAGAAGGCCUUCGGGUUGUAAAGCCCUUUUGUUGGGAAAGCAAAGCAGCAGGUUAAUACCCCGCUGUUCUGACGGUACCCAAAGAAUAAGCACCGGCUAACUUCGUG
rnacentral:rRNA from 1 species